rnacentral:rRNA from 1 species
AUACGGAGGGUGCAAGCGUUACUCGGAAUCACUGGGCGUAAAGGGCGCGCAGGCGGUUUGGUAAGUCAGAUGUGAAAGCCCACGGCUCAACCGUGGAAGUGCAUUUGAAACUGUCAGACUUGAGUACUAGAGGGGAAAGUGGAAUUCCCGGUGUAGAGGUGAAAUUCGUAGAUAUCGGGAGGAAUACCGGUGGCGAAGGCGACUUUCUGGCUAGAUACUGACGCUGAGGCGCGAAAGCGUGGGGAGCAAACAGGAUUAGAUACCCUAGUAGUCC